rnacentral:lncRNA from 1 species
UCGGGACAGAUUGGGAGAGCUCCAUACUGGUGAUGAAAUUUCUGUUCAUAUUCAUCUUCAGAGUCAACUUCAUGUGAUGAUGAUGGCAUGUUACUGUCAUUAGUAGCUCCAUCGUUCAACGGUUUGCUCGUUUCUUCUUUGGCAUCAGCAUGAUCAUCCUUGUCAUCCAUGAUGACAUUUUGAUCAUCUGUGUGGUGUUCGCUAUGAGCAUCCUCUGGUAGUUUAAUGUCACGUGGGUCGUUACUUGAGGAGUCGUGGAAGAUAUUGCGUAGCCUAGCAUACAUUGGAUCCUUCAAGGCCUUGACAUAGUCCUCGUCGCGUUUAGAUGUAGAGACC